CUGUGGUGCCUGAAAGCAAACUCGGCUUCAUCUCCCCACCCCCACGCCGUUGGGCUCUUCCCUUCCUGCCCAAGUUCCUCGGCUUUGCCAGAACCACAGUGACAAUAUGAGAUAUCGCAUCUGAAGAAGCACAGCCAAAUAUUUGAUUUGGACGACUGCACUGAAGAUGCCUCAUCACAACUGUGGGUGCCCAGAUUACCAACGCCUUGCUCUUGGCGUCGGCACAUGCUGCAGUGAGUACAAACUGCACGGAAGAGCGCGUUACAACACGGAUGGAAGAGAUCCCAAAUGGCUGAUGUGCAGUGUCUUGUUUGGGGAAGAGUUCGCUGAUGAGGAAUAAGCUGAGGAGGCAAGAGGCUGUUGUUUUUCCUGUCAAGGCAAAUGGUACUAAGAAUAUGGCAAACGCUUAAACACCCAGCACUCCCGGCAGAAGAGAUGAAGACACAAUCUCAGAACCAAGCCCAUCUGCUUGAGAACCAGUAGACCCAAAUUGUGGUUCUGCUUUCUGCAGUUGCAGGGAUCCUGGCUGUGUUCUGAAAAUACUGAAUGGAGAAAUUCAGGAAUAAAUAUAAUCUGUAACUUUGGAGUGGUGCACCAUUCUGAAGAGGAUGAAGAAAUUUUGGGUCACCCUGUGCAGGAUGUGAGUCAUCAACUUGUCUAGCAUGCUGUGUGUAACUGAUGCCCCUGUAGUUGGUCACUUAGUAGGUGUCUUGCUUACUUGAUGGUUGUGUGCCAGUAACCCCCAUUUUAAUAAAGAGGGGCAAUGCAAUGUCAUUCACAAAGCACAAAGGGCAAAUUUGAUCUAGAUGCUACGUGGCAAUACUGUCGGCUGCUAUUCAUGGCCAGGCACCCCCUAGGGAUCUAGGAACAUAUGCCCAGUAGGUAAAGGGGAAUCUACUAAUUACUCUGCUCUCAACUUAAACAAAACAAAUUUCCACUUCAAAUACAUGAAAUUUUUCCAUCUUUGGAGUCCCAGUGCUAACAAUUUUGAAGUUGAAGAGACCCAUUAAAACGUAAAAUCAC